GACGAACGCUGGCGGCGUGCCUAACACAUGCAAGUCGGGCGGAGUCAGUAAGAGGAAGUUUUCGGAUGGAAUCUUAUUGAUUUAGCGGCGGACGGGUGAGUAACGCGUGAGCAACCAACCUUGCACAGGGGGAUAACGGACCGAAAGGUUCACUAAUACCGCAUGAGACCACGGUGUUGCAUGACACAGAGGUCAAAGGAGCAAUCCGGUGCAAGACGGGCUCGCGUCCGAUUAGGUAGUUGGAGGGGUAACGGCCCACCAAGCCUAUGAUCGGUAGCCGACCUGAGAGGGUGAUCGGCCACAUUGGAACUGAGAUACGGUCCAAACUCCUACGGGAGGCAGCAGUGGGGAAUAUUGGGCAAUGGGGGAAACCCUGACCCAGCAACGCCGCGUGAAGGAAGAAGGUUUUCGGAUUGUAAACUUCUGUCCUUGGUGAAGAGAAGAAGACGGUAGCCAAGGAGGAAGCCCCGGCUAACUACGUGCCAGCAGCCGCGGUAA
rnacentral:rRNA from 1 species